rnacentral:lncRNA from 1 species
CAGUGCUUAAUGUAGCAGGCUUAUUGCUCAUUGGUGUAACAAUAUUAUUCCUUUUGAAAGAAAUAGCAGCUGUGGACUUAACAGGUGUAGUGGUGAACUUGGAGGUUCCAUUAGCAGGUUUAUUGCUCAUUGGUGUAACAAUAUUAUCCCUUUUGAAAGAAAUAGCAGCUGUGGACUUAACAGGUGUAGUGGUGAACUUGGAGGUUCCAUUAGCAGGUUUAUUGCUCAUUGGUGUAACAAUAUUAUCCCUUUUGAAAGAAAUAGCAGCUGUGGACUUAACAGGUGUAGUAGUGAACUUGGAGGUUUCAUUAGCAGGUUUAUUGCUCAUUGGUGUAGCAAUGUUAUCUCUUUUGAAAGAAAUAGCAGCAGUGGACUUAACAGGUGUAGAGGUUAAGUAGGAGGUUCCAUUAGC